rnacentral:rRNA from 1 species
UACGAGGGGGGCAAGCGUUGUUCGGAAUUAUUGGGCGUAAAGGGCGCGUAGGCGGUUUGACAAGUCUGAUGUGAAAUCUAUGGGCUCAACCCAUAGCCUGCAUUAGAAACUGUCGGGCUUGAGUAUGGGAGAGGUGAGUGGAAUUUCCGGUGUAGCGGUGAAAUGCGUAGAUAUCGGAAGGAACACCUGUGGCGAAAGCGGCUCACUGGACCAUAACUGACGCUGAGGCGCGAAAGCUAGGGGAGCAAACAGGGAUUAAGA